UGCAGUAAAUCUUUUAGAAGUGGCUG
rnacentral:piRNA from 1 species